CUGGUCUAAGAAAGCCCUAAAUGAUGCAAUUUGGCUCCAUGAAUAUGGACUCUGAACAAACUCCCUCUGCUGAUGAUGAUGAUGCUAUGUGCAAGCUAAAGCUCUGGAUACAAUGAGACGGUCAGAAUUGAACUGGUGCAGCUGAUCCCUCCAAGUGAGACAUUUUAUUUUUCAUAUUCAUGUUCUGUAUUCUGUGUUCACUCCAGGUCUGGGUAAGUGAUGCUCUACUUUGCAGAUUAUACUUUGAAUGAAUAGGGCUUUGGAUGGAUGUAGUUGUGUAACUGAAGUGUGUUUGUGUUUACAGCGGGGGACACUUUGGCCUGCUUUGAGGAAGAUGCGCGACAUUUCUUGUUCCCAGAGCCCAGACUGCUUCCCUCCUUUUCUGGAGUGGACCAAGAGGUUCUUAUGACCCGAGCGCCUCACUUUCCAGGUAUCGCUCCAAGGUUGGAAUUUUCCACUAAAACAAGCAUUAUUGAGUGCUCAGCUGAUGCAGAGAUCAAUAUUUACCCCAAUGUUUCCAUGAGGCCAGUAAUAAAAAGGAACAGGAAGCGCUCUAGCAAACCCAAGACCACCUCUCCUCAGGGGAAACAACAUCAGACCCUAGGCAGGCGACAAGGUGACAGGAUGGACAAAGAAAGACACAGGACACCCAGGUCCCUGUCACAUAGUUCCAGAUCCCAGUCCCUGCCUCAAAUGAGAGACAAAAACACUCAGUCUCUGGGCCAGCUCACCGUGGACUCUGCAGCUCCUGGCCUGGCAGACCAGGACAAAACAAGCUCCUCCCGACCUUCACUGGCUUCAUGGCCUAGAGCCAGUGGAUCCGUCUCACAGCAGCGCUCUGCACUGUUGACAAACUACUCCUCACCUUUGACCAGGUCUUCAUCCACAGUGAGAUUCUCCCCAGCUGGCAGAAGAAAAUCUUUGCCCAAUGGUGUGGUUAGCAGAACAUCUGGAGAUGAUUCUAGCUCAAAUGACUCUUUUGACUACCAUUGUGGUACCAACCCUUCAUCAUUGUGGCGAUCUUAUAGAGAACAGGCCAGGCAUGACAGUUCUCACAGGGAAUGGGAAGAAGUCCAUGAGCGUGUUCAGGGGCUCCUUACAACACCAAAAGCUUUACGCCGGCUUGUCUAUGGUGCCACAGCCACUGAGGUAGAAAGGGUUUUAGCCAAAACAUCCAUCACGCCAUGAUGUCAUGGCUAGGCUCUGGAAAGGGCAGUAACUUUAAAACAAACUCACAACCAACUCAUGCAUCACCCCUCCUGUCUUGAUUUGUCUGAACUUAGAACUGCUGUACUAUGGAUGCCAGGUUAGGACAAUCUUUGCAAACCACCAUAGCAGUAUUGUGUUGUUUUUAUGUGUGUGACGUCAGACAUCUAUUUUUUCUGUCCUAUAGGGAAAGGGACCUUCAUCUUGCCAGUGAAGUAUUCAGAUAUCAUGACUUUCCUGAUGCGUGUGGGAGGUUUAACAAAGAGGUAUUUCAGGGUAGUAGAAUGAUUAAUGUCCACACAUCCUGUAAUAAUGAUUGGCAAUGAAACAUUUUACAAUUGAAAAUAAAUGUUGAAGUUUGAACAUGGCCUGGAGGCAGUCGCUACAUUUUGACAUCAAAAGUCUCUCCUGUUCUGUUUCAUUAAUCUAUCAAGCUGACAUUGUCGAGUCCUCAGGUAAAUCACCCAAAGGCUAUUAAAAGCAAAUUGUGUCUAUAGCAUUGCAGCUCUGUGAGAACUCCUGCCAUAUAUCAGAGAAAUAGCUGCUCACUAUAGUUUGGGGCAUUAAGAACCAGCUCUGUCAGGAACAUUGUGAUCUAUUGUAGAAUGGCUGCUGAAACAGAAUUCUAUUUUGGUGUAACAAGCAAGUAACAGUGCAGAUUUAUUAGUGGUUUGCUUGGUUGGUUCUAACAAAAGUCUUUCAAUAAUUCUACAAAUAUUAGAGAGUUUCAAAUUAGGAGGGGCUGUUAUAAGUGUCUGCAAGAUGGUGAACGUGGUAGGCUGAAUCUGCACCUCCUCCAUAAGAGUCUACAUAGAACCACCAGACUAUAUUGUAGAUGUCUGUACUAUAUGUGUUUGAUAAAAAUAUUUUUUAUAUACAAUAGAAAAUAAUUUCAAUUAGAGUUUUAUUGUGUAUUAUUGUUGAGCAAGGUUAUUAAAAGACAUGAAGCACAAGACCAAAGUUGUGAUUAUGUG
rnacentral:lncRNA from 1 species